rnacentral:rRNA from 1 species
AAAAGAGGGGGACCUUCGGGCCUCUUGCCAUCAGAUGUGCCCAGAUGGGAUUAGCUAGUAGGUGGGGUAACGGCUCACCUAGGCGACGAUCCCUAGCUGGUCUGAGAGGAUGACCAGCCACACUGGAACUGAGACACGGUCCAGACUCCUACGGGAGGCAGCAGUGGGGAAUAUUGCACAAUGGGCGCAAGCCUGAUGCAGCCAUGCCGCGUGUAUGAAGAAGGCCUUCGGGUUGUAAAGUACUUUCAGCGGGGAGGAAGGUGUUGAGGUUAAUAACCUCAGCAAUUGACGUUACCCGCAGAAGAAGCACCGGCUAACUCCGUGCCAGCAGCCGCGGUAAUACGGAGGGUGCAAGCGUUUAAUCGGAAUUACUGGGCGUAAAGCGCACGCAGGCGGUCUGUCAAGUCGGAUGUGAAAUCCCCGGGCUCAACCUGGGAACUGCAUUCGAAACUGGCAGGCUAGAGUCUUGUAGAGGGGGGUAGAAUUCCAGGUGUAGCGGUGAAAUGCGUAGAGAUCUGGAGGAAUACCGGUGGCGAAGGCGGCCCCCUGGACAAAGACUGACGCUCAGGUGCGAAAGCGUGGGGAGCAAACAGGAUUAGAUACCCUGGUAGUCCACGCCGUAAACGAUGUCGACUUGGAGGUUGUGCCCUUGAGGCGUGGCUUCCGGAGCUAACGCGUUAAGUCGACCGCCUGGGGAGUACGGCCGCAAGGUUAAAACUCAAAUGAAUUGACGGGGGCCCGCACAAGCGGUGGAGCAUGUGGUUUAAUUCGAUGCAACGCGAAGAACCUUACCUACUCUUGACAUCCAGAGAACUUAGCAGAGAUGGUUUGGUGCCUUCGGGAACUCUGAGACAGGUGCUGCAUGGCUGUCGUCAGCUCGUGUUGUGAAAUGUUGGGUUAAGUCCCGCAACGAGCGCAACCCUUAUCCUUUGUUGCCAGCGGUUAGGCCGGGAACUCAAAGGAGACUGCCAGUGAUAAACUGGAGGAAGGUGGGGAUGACGUCAAGUCAUCAUGGCCCUUACGAGUAGGGCUACACACGUGCUACAAUGGCGCAUACAAAGAGAAGCGACCUCGCGAGAGCAAGCGGACCUCAUAAAGUGCGUCGUAGUCCGGAUUGGAGUCUGCAACUCGACUCCAUGAAGUCGGAAUCGCUAGUAAUCGUAGAUCAGAAUGCUACGGUGAAUACGUUCCCGGGCCUUGUACACACCGCCCGUCACACCAUGGGAGUGGGUUGCAAAAGAAGUAGGUAGCUUAACCUUCGGGAGGGCGCUACCACUUGGAUCAGU